UUAAUUAAAGCCAAAGAGCGGCCUACUGUUGUUAACAGUAUUAUUGAUUUUCUAGUCUAGUUAAA
rnacentral:tRNA from 1 species